UACGUAGGUGGCAAGCGUUGUCCGGAUUUACUGGGCGUAAAGAGCGCGCAGGCGGUCGUUCAAGUCGGGUGUGAAAGCCCCCGGCUCAACUGGGGAGGGUCACGCGAUACUGAUCGACUGGAAGGCAGGAGAGGGUAGUGGAAUUCCCGGUGUAGUGGUGAAAUGCGUAGAUAUCGGGAGGAACACCAGUGGCGAAGGCGACUACCUGGCCUGUUCUUGACGCUGAGGCGCGAAAGCUAGGGGAGCAAACGGG
rnacentral:rRNA from 1 species